AGGGAGAACUGUCCUUGAAGAAAAAGUAUCAGUUGCCUUCCGCCAAGAAGUAGUAGUAAAAGAAAGACUAGAAUUAGAAGUAGUAGAAGCAGAAGUGGAAGAAAUUCCGGAAGAAGAAGAGUUCCAUGAAGUUGAAGAAUAUUUUGAAGAAGGCGAGUUUCAUGAAGUAGAAGAAUUCAUCAAAUUAGAACAACAUAGAGUUGAAGAAGAACACAGAGUUGAAAAAGUUCAUAGGGUAAUAGAAGUUUUUGAGGCUGAAGAAGUGGAAGUAUUUGAAAAACCAAAAGCUCCACCUAAAGGGCCUGAGAUAUCUGAGAAAAUCAUCCCUCCAAAAAAACCGCCCACUAAAGUUGUUCCUCGAAAAGAGCCACCAGCUAAAGUACCGGAGGUGCCUAAGAAAAUUGUGGUAGAAGAAAAAGUACGUGUUCCUGAAGAGCCCAGAGUUCCACCAACUAAAGCACCCGAAGUACCCAAGAAAAUUGUCCCAGAAGAAAAAGUUCGUGAAGCUGUUCUGAAAAAGCCUGAAGUUCCACCAGCUAAAGUGCCAGAAGCUUCCAAAGAGGUUAUCCGCGAAGAGAAAGUGCCCUUGGCUCCUCCUAAAGAGCCUGAAGUCCCACCUGUUAAAGUACCAGAGCCUCCCAAAGAAGUAGUUCCUGAAAAGAAAGCGCCAGUGGCUCCUCCUAAAGAGCCUGAAGUCCCACCUGUUAAAGUGCCUGAGGCUCCCAAAGAAGUUGUUCCUGAAAAGAAAGUGCCAGUGCCUCCUCCUAAAAAGCCUGAAGUGCCACCCAC
rnacentral:lncRNA from 1 species